UAGGGAAUCUUCGGCAAUGGGGGCAACCCUGACCGAGCAACGCCGCGUGAGUGAAGAAGGUUUUCGGAUCGUAAAGCUCUGUUGUAAGUCAAGAACGAGUGUGAGAGUGGAAAGUUCACACUGUGACGGUAGCUUACCAGAAAGGGACGGCUAACUACGUGCCAGCAGCCGCGGUAAUACGUAGGUCCCGAGCGUUGUCCGGAUUUAUUGGGCGUAAAGCGAGCGCAGGCGGUUUGAUAAGUCUGAAGUUAAAGGCUGUGGCUCAACCAUAGUUCGCUUUGGAAACUGUCAAACUUGAGUGCAGAAGGGGAGAGUGGAAUUCCAUGUGUAGCGGUGAAAUGCGUAGAUAUAUGGAGGAACACCGGUGGCGAAAGCGGCUCUCUGGUCUGUAACUGACGCUGAGGCUCGAAAGCGUGGGGAGCAAACAGGAUUAGAUACCCUGGUAGUCCACGCCGUAAACGAUGAGUGCUAGGUGUUGGGUCCUUUCCGGGACUCAGUGCCGCAGCUAACGCAUUAAGCACUCCGCCUGGGGAGUACUACCGCAAGGUUG
rnacentral:rRNA from 1 species